rnacentral:lncRNA from 1 species
GGAUCGGACGGCACUGUGUGCUCUAGGCAGGGACAGCUGAGGGGCCAAUGCCCUGCCCCUCCCAGCCAGAGGAGGAUGCCCCCAUCUGUUCACUGCACCCUCCAGUGGGAAACGAGCAAAACAAGAGGCAAUGCAUUUGCAGUCACUACAGUAGGAAGAGGUAUUCGCUUUCCACCAGCAGACACACAACCGGCUGGAUGUGGAGAGAAGCGGAUCGGCGGAAGAAGACACAAGCGGCUGGACGUCAAGGGGAGCGCGCUGGCGGAAGAAGAGCACACCAACAGAAGAGC